AGCCUCUCUCGCUAGUCUACCUCAAUCCCGCGCAAGUUCGCGCUUGGUCCCGCUCGCGUUGUUAAACUAAGAUAAACGCAGUACGCAUGCGUACGAAAGUUGCCGCUCUCCUUCAAGGGUAGCCCUCGGCGAAUGCAAAUUUAGGAGGCGGAGCUAGGACCGUGUGGAGGCGGAAACAAGCGAAAGGAAGAAGCGGUUAAGGGGUUGUCGUAAAUGAACCACUGGUCGCGGGUUCGAGUCUCGGCUUGUGUUAUUUGAGGAUCUUGACUCCACCGUUACAGCAGAUGAAUUUCAAGGGGUGUCCAGAGCAUUGUCUGGUCCUGCUACCAGUAUGUUGGAUGACUUUGUUAGUGUCAUGGACUAGCUGGAAACAGAGGAGUGUUGGAACCAGAGCCCAGGGAGCAGUGAUGAGACAAUGAAGAGUGGUCACAGGGACUGUGGAAAGGUUUCUGAAGAAACUUCAGCUAACAGCCAGGUUGAUCACAGGGGCAAGACAGUUUGAGUGUAUGACAUUGAUUCUAGUUUCUGGGCCCAAUUUAAAGUGCUGGUUUUUACCAAUAAAGCAAUCAACAGCUCAGAACCGCAGUACCUCAAGGACCACUUCUCCCCAUAAGAACUGGCCUGGACCCUGCAGUCAUCAUCUGAGGCUCCUCCAUGAAAGGUUUGGAGGGUGGUGGCUCCCCAUUUGUGGAAUGCCCUCCCCAAGGAGGCUCGCCUGGCAUCAUUCCAUACUUAGACCCCAGAUGAAAACGUUUUUCUAUAAUCAGGCCUUUGGCUGGUUAACAUUCUAUCACCUUCUAAACGUGAUGGGGGGAUGUUAUUGGUUUUUGUUUAAUGUAUUUUGUGCUCUCAAUUUGCAUUUUUCUGUUGUGAACCGCUCUGUGGUCUUCCCAAGAAGGGCAGUUUACAAAUUUAAUUAAAUAAUAAUAAUAAUACAACAUGACAGUGGGGCAUUUAUUACAAACUGGGCAUGUGGUUUACUGGUAUCCAGAAGUGCAUGGCCAUCUAUGCACACCAAAAGCAUCAAACCUUUUUCAAGAAAUAAAAUAGCAGCCUUGCCAGAAUAUUGACAUCCUAGUUAGUGUUUU